GUAUGGUGGCUUUCUCUAGGAUGUGACUCUCCGACAAAGCUGUUUCAGUUUAACUUCAUGGUACCAGGGCUCUGAGUUUGCACAGCAUGUUUUGUGCCACUUGGAACUACACCAGAGACAAGCAGGAGUCACAGCAUCACUGGGUCUCCUGCUGGGAAAGGGGCUGGGGCCACGUCAACAUUUGAGUCCCCAAAGACAAUGCCAGCAGUACAUCUGGAAGUGAUGUUUCUAUCUGAACAUUUAUUCCACAGUCAUAGAAACUGAAGAUGGAAAAGACCUGAGGACAUCUAGUCCAUCCACGUGAUUGUACAAGAAAAGUGGCUGGAGCAAAACAGCCUGUUCACUUCAUGCUCACAAGACAGCAGUUCAGUCCUUCCUGGAGCGGAGCGAUUGCAAACACAUUAAAGUGAAAGACACGAUGCAAACACUCUUUACAAACCUUAAGAAAAUACUUAUAGAACAUGGAGGCAAUUCAAGCAAUGCUGACAACAAUAAGCCUGCUUUCAGCCCCUGCAGCUUCUGGCUGCAUCCUGGCUGCAGUUUCGGCCACAUAGUUCAUCAGGAGAUAUUUGAGAAGCCAUGCCCUGGUCAUCUACUUUGUGGAUGGGCAGGGUGGUCUGGCAUGUUAUCACCACUGCUCAGAAUGCCUCAGGAGAGAAGCUUAAGAUCCCUCACAUGGCGUUUACUCCUGACUAAGAUUCCUGCUCUGAAAAAAACACCUACCCAGGAGACCUAGGAAUGAGCUUGAGAAGACUGGCCACUGCUUUGCAGCUCCGUUUUCCGGCUCACGGCCAGCUGCAGCUCCUGGCGGAUCACCUGAAUCUGCCUCUCCAGCUCCGACAGCUCUUGCAUCACUGAGUUCCGAGCCCCGCUGUGGGAGUCUGCUUUCCCAUUGGUGCUCAG